UGGGGAAUUUUGGACAAUGGGCGAAAGCCUGAUCCAGCAAUGCCGCGUGUGUGAAGAAGGCCUUCGGGUUGUAAAGCACUUUUGUCCGGAAAGAAAUCCUCUGGGUUAAUACCUCGGGGGGAUGACGGUACCGGAAGAAUAAGCACCGGCUAACUACGUGCCAGCAGCCGCGGUAAUACGUAGGGUGCAAGCGUUAAUCGGAAUUACUGGGCGUAAAGCGUGCGCAGGCGGUUUUGUAAGACGGAUGUGAAAUCCCCGGGCUUAACCUGGGAACUGCAUUCGUGACUGCAAGGCUAGAGUAUGGCAGAGGGGGGUAGAAUUCCACGUGUAGCAGUGAAAUGCGUAGAGAUGUGGAGGAAUACCGAUGGCGAAGGCAGCCCCCUGGGCCAAUACUGACGCUCAUGCACGAAAGCGCGGGGAGCAAACA
rnacentral:rRNA from 1 species